UUUAGCGGGUUUCAGUCCUUUAGCUUGGGACCGACUGUCUCAGACGUGUCAUAGAUCUGACAUCAGGAGUAGCAGCAUCUUUAGUGUAAGAUGGGUUUUUAAUAGUCCAAGACCUUUUAGUGAGGGUGGCCUAGUGGAUUGUGUCAGAUGGCGCAUGUGUGCACGCAACAGGAACUGAAUGACAAUAGAUAGAUGGCAAGUGGUCCUUCAAGGUGCGAAUGCUGUUGUUUUCUGACCUUUCUGAUCCUUGCUGAGUGAGAAACCCCCUGUGUAGUUCAUCCCAAGAUCCCCUCUUAAAUGACCUAGGGAAGGCUCACUGGCUUCAUUUCAUUUUAAGGGUUUCACUGCAGACAAAGUGACCAGGAUGCUAAGAACAUUGCAGCUACCUCGCGGACCCAGAGGGUCCAGGAAUUCUCUCCGCACUCUUCAGACUCACUCUCAUCUCCUGAAUAUUUCAUUUCCAAGCCUAUCAGUAGAUAAGGGAGUGUGAUAGUUUUCUCGCUUUGGUCCUUCUCCCUAGAACUCUGUCAGCCCUGGGGAUAUAUUUCAGAUAAAGGAGUAGAAUCUCUUUGUUGCCACUGAUGAACCCACAGGUAGGAAAGUGACACAGUCAUCCCUGGCAGCGGCUUCUAGCAGACUCUAGGCCACUGGUCUCUAUGGCAGCAAUUAUUAGCAAACAUUGUAAUCCAAUUAUAAAAGCAGUUUUUGGAAUUAGCUCAUAUUUCUUCUGUCAAUAAAUUAACAAAACAUUGCAGCCGAAUAAGCUCCGUGAUGGUUACUGUUUUUUGUUUUUUUGUUUGGUUUUUUUUUUUUUUGAGAAUGUCAAGUGUGUAAAAAAAAUACUUAAUAAAACAAUUUCUGAAAGCAUAUAGAAAUCUGACAAAAGGAUAAUUAUGAGGCAAACUUCUAUUAGAGUGAUAUCUGUGGUGUGCUAGAGUAUUGCUGUUGACUCUAUCAGGUUCAGAUUUGAUGGUUGGAGAAGUUGUGAUAAAUAUUACUGUUCUCAGGGCUCUGCCUCUACAGAAGAGAGGAGCAACCGAGCAGAUGUCAGCACAUUGCCUUAAACUGGCUUAGCUGCAUCUUGGAGGCUAUGUUUAGGAAAAUCUUAAUCCUCUCACUCAUCACUCACUUCCCUCCAUGUUUUGGUGAGUUUUUACUACAUUGCUUUGGCUCAGGGUGGAUCACCCGCAUGUACCCGCCCAGGAACUAUCUUUAGAUCCUAGAGUGAAAGACAUACACACAUUAGCUUAUUUUUAAAAGCCUUGGCUACAUCAAAGGCUGGGCACUCCUAAACCUUCCCCUUCUUCCCCAGGCCCAAUCAGGGAAGUGACCAGUGGCCACUUACCUGAAAUCUCACAUGGCCAGUUGGCUUUCUCUUCUGCCACUUCUGCGCCCCAUCCUCCUUCCCCGAGUCAUGGCGAAUCUCUUCCUCUCUGUGUCCUCUAAGUGUCCUGCCUUAUGCCCAGCCAUUGGCCAUAGGCAUCUUUAUUGAUCGAUCCCAGUUGGGGACAAGGACCUUUAGUGUCUGGACAUGCAGAUUCCCAAUUGAAUCAAAGCAUUAGAACCAAUCUCCAGCACCUCCAUCUCUAAUAUACUUCAUUAUGGUUACAUUUUCAGCAUAGAAAAAUCUCUAUCAAUAUGUCUUGCAUCGUGAUGUAAAACAUACUGAAAAUCCAAUCAAACUAGCUUUAACAAAUUAACUUUAAUCACAUAAGAAUAGAUAUUAGCAUUUCCUAAUUGAUGAGCAGACAAAGCUGUUAUUUUUCCCCCUGCAGUUUUGUCUCUUCUCUGUUUUAUACUAAAAAUCUGAUAAUGGCAUUUUAAAUCAUCUAUGAAUCAAACCACUGGAAUGUUCCCCUGAGUCAUUCAGUCAUGUAUUUUUUUACUUGUCACAGAUGGCCAACAUUUUAAAUGACUAUACUAUAGACUAAGAAGAACUGAUUGCCUCAGUAAACAUAUCUAUUAGCUGGCAUACAUUAAUACAAUUCUUGAAUCCAGAAGUCAUAUUUAAACUAUUUCUAUACCUUGUAUACAUUGUUGGAUUCCUUCCCCAUCUCAUGGGUAGUGAUUUGUUCAAGUGGGUCAUUUCUCAGCAGAGAUGAAUAAUUAGGAACUUGCUGAUCACACACCAUAAAAAUACAAGCAGAGCUUUUUCAUGUCUCUUUCCAGAUUUUAUUCUUUUUUCUACUGCAGCCUGUUUGCAUGAGACCACCCCCACCUACCUCCAUUCUCUGGGAACUCUACCUCUUGGUGCUGAGCUAGGGUCUCCUUAGCUAUCUUCCACCAACCCUCUCAUCCUUCCCUUCUAGUCUGUCUUCAUCCCUUUAAGAAACAAUUACUAUGAGGAACUCCCCCACUGGCCACAGUGGACGAGGAUUCAGGUAGGCAGCUUUUACUAUUCUUCCUGACUUCCAUUCUGGUUCUUCCAGAAUUAAUUCUAGUCUCUGUCUAUACAGCCUGUCUGUAGGAAUCCCUCUUCUUACCCUGACUCCACUCUUUGAGGACUUCAAUUCUUGGUGUAAACCCCAGGCCCUAGCUCUUUACAUUGCUUCUCUCAGACUUUCUUUUGGCCCAUCUUCAUUCUGUUCUGUUCUCCAAUGAAGCUCUCUACCAGGGACCACACACCACCACACAAGGAUCCAAAGUAGGUAACAGCAAUCAAAGACAGAAAACAAAGAGAAGACCAGUUGCAAACAACAAGAAAUAGCUCAAACAUCAAAACUUGAGAUGUCCAGAUCCCAGGGCAAAAGCACAAGCAUGGAUAGCGAAGACAGUUUGCCUCUUCCAGAAGCCAGUAAGCAUUGUAAUAGUCUCUGAGAAAUGCAGGUUAGGUGAAGAAAAACACAAAGGCUUCAAAAAAGCAAUUGCAAAUAUGACCAAGGGCAUUAAAGAGUACAUGAACAUGUGUUAAUGAAGACUAUAAACAAACAGUUGAGUGGAAUAAUGAAAACAUUUCAAGACAUAAAUGUAGAAAUAGAAUCAUCAAAGAAAAGCCAAACUGACAUAAAAGUAAAAAUGAAGAAUUUAGAAAGUCAAACAAAAUCCUCAGAGGAAAGCCCUACCAACACAUUUCAAGCCAUGGAACGGAGAAUUUUGAGUCUUGAAGAUAAGAUAGAAGAAGUGUCUAUCUUAGUCAAAGAAAAUGUU
rnacentral:lncRNA from 1 species